rnacentral:rRNA from 1 species
GGCGAACGGGUGAGUAGCACGUGGGUGAUCUGCCCUGCACUUCGGGAUAAGCUUGGGAAACUGGGUCUAAUACCGGAUAGGAGCCAUCUUUAGUGUGGUGGUUGGAAAGUUUUUCGGUGUAGGAUGAGCUCGCGGCCUAUCAGCUUGUUGGUGGGGUAAUGGCCUACCAAGGCGGCGACGGGUAGCCGGCCUGAGAGGGUGUACGGCCACAUUGGGACUGAGAUACGGCCCAG